UCACAGCCAGGACAUGCCAGCUCCUGCCCUUGACUUCAGCAUUCCAGGCUCUCUGGAUCCAGGACUUAUUCCAGUGGCCCCUUCAGGUUCUGAACUCUUUGGACUUGAGUCAAGCUGCUGGCAUCCCAAGGCUGCCAAUUGGGCUGAAGCUAUGAGAAGGUGAAAUUGACACUUGGCUAUAUGAAGGUGUACAGUCCUUGGGGAUGAGAGGAGUAGAGGAAGAAACCCUGAAUCAGAAAAGAACAAGAACUCAGAACUCCAGGAUACUCUGCUUAAAAUUCAUCAGAUUCAUCUGGUUACUUCUUCAGGACAAAGCAAGUAAUAUACAUCUGCGGACCUCACACUGAAUGUGCUGUGGCUGCUGGGUAGGACAGGAAUAGAUGUAAAGACAAGAUCUUCUGGAGGAGUUGGAGUUGAUGAAAUCCAGAGAUAUAUGAGAGUACAGGUGGCCAUGAGGUGAACAGCUUUCUCUGCCACAUGCCUUCAUCAUUAUAUACAGUACUGCUUCACCAAGGAUUUAAAAGCAGUGAGCCAACCAACUGUGAACUGAAUCCUUCCAACCUGUGAAACAAAAAAAACCUUUACUCUUUCUGCAUUGAUUAUCUCAACAUUUUGUUACAGCAACAGAAAUCUAAUGCAGACAUGAAACCAGCAUUAUCAAGUGUCUACCUCCAGAUCUCUUAUUAAGUAAGAAAAACAAAUCCUCUUUAUUUAAUCCACUGUAAUUGUAAUUCAUCUGUUUGUUUCCAGAUUUAUGUCACACUCUGGAUAUUCCAAAUGAUAUUUCCAAACUCUGUGACCAGUUGGCUCUAGCUAGCUCAGCAGUAGCAGCACUAAUGGGAAAUUGGAGAAUGCAAAGAAAAGAGAAUCCAGGGAAUUUCUUCCCUUUUUCCUCUAGUUCAGGCAGUAAUUCCAGUAUUGGUGUUGUCUCUUGCGUGAUCCUAGAUGAGCCCUCUUCCAUGUUCCCAGCUCCCACCCAGCAGACAUCUUAAACAUCUUAUAGAUCCAAUGGCUCUUUCUACUGAAAUCUGAUACACACCAUCUCCUUCAGUUGUCCUUUCAGCAUUGUGGGUGGUAGUGGCUUCCUGCUGUUACUAAUCUCUAAACUGCUAAUCUCUAAGAAGGCGUAUCUGCUUUCUCAGCUCUUCUAGACCCUUAGCAGCUAAUAAUGCUCUGUACUAAAUUAUUUCUAUUGCAAAACUUGACAUGGUCUAGGUUGUCCCAACUGGAUCCUGAUUGAUACAGUAUCUUAGGUGAGUUUUCUAUAACUUUCACAAACCACUUUACAAAUUUAUUCAAACCUUAGAAAAAGCUUCUUUAUCUUGUGGAGUAGAAGUUUUCUACCAUUUCUUCUAUUUUUUUUUUUUUUUUUUGUACCGGGGAUCGAACUUGGGUCCUUGCACUUGUGCAGCAGGCAGCGAAAUCACUGAGCUAAAUCCCUGGCCCUACCAUUUUAAAAAAAUGUAAUACAAACCUUCACAGUUUGGUGUCAAAACUAUAGGACUAAACAUAAUAAAGCCUGUUCAUCCUUCUUAGAUUGUUCAAUUCUUGGGCAUGAUGUUGAAUUAGGUUGAAUUAAAAGCCAUAGAAAAAUUUUGAAAAUUCAUUUGUAGAUUCAUGAUUUGGUUGUGAGUUUGAAUCCUUAAUCUAUAAUUCUGGCUGACAUAUGAAAUAUAUGACUUCCUCCCUUAUUGUUGUGCCAACUUCAUGAAUCUCAUGCUCAGAGGAGUAAAACAAAAAUUAUAAAUACCUCAGAGACAUGUUUCAUGAGCUUUAAAGGGUCAUAUAAAUAAAGCAAUUACAAAGGGCCUAGCAUCUCUUCCUCUACUUCCCUAGUGAAUGUGUGUAUAAUAAAUUUAUCAUCCAUGUUAUGUGAAUGUCCUUUUAUUCCAGAGUCUCCAAUCUAAUCAUAGUUAAGCUAAAAAAGGGGAUUAUAGCUUUAUCAGAAGUUUGUUUUACAAGACUGCCACAUAACUCUGCCAGAUAUGGUAUCCUGUUUUCAUUUUCCCACUACACUGACCCCAAAGAUCACAUUAAAUAAAGGUGAAAUCAUUAUGUAGAAAUGUAAACAGUUUGCUCAGUGUAAUUUGAAAAUAUGUUUUAUUUUAGGGAAAAGUAAUGUGCCGCAGACCAGCUGCAGUCGA